rnacentral:rRNA from 1 species
UACGGGGGGGUAAGCGUUGUUCGGAAUUACUGGGCGUAAAGGGCUCGUAGGCGGCCAACUAAGUCAUACGUGAAAUCCCUCAGCUUAACUGGGGAACUGCGUGUGAUACUGGAUGGCUUGGAUUUGGGAGUGGGAUGCGGAAUUCCAGGUGUAGCGGUGAAAUGCGUAGAUAUCUGGAGGAACACCGGUGGCGAAGGCGGCAUCCUGGACCAAUAUUGACGCUGAGGAGCGAAAGCCAGGGGAGCAAACGGG